rnacentral:miRNA from 1 species
AUAUUCGGUUGAGUGUAGUAUUCUGCUCCAAAAGGUGUCAAUCAAAUAAACUAAAGCAUGAUUGUCACCUUUUUGAGUAGAGUAAUACACAUCAUAUAC